UCUCGCACUCUCGUUCUUGAGAGUUUGUGCACUGUUUAUAUUCUUCAGUAUAUGUUUGCUGAUGACAUAGAAGUAGUUUAAAUUAUGCAGAGACUUUGAGUUUUGUAUUUGGAAUACAUAAUAAUUUAGCGUGUGUCUACGAUCCGAUGCAAUUCUCUCAAUUGGACACAACUUCGGCCACUUGAGUGUCCCUUUUAGUAUUACCUCGUAACACACGCGCUCACCACUUACUUACGAGUUAAGACAUAGAAUACUCUGAUAAUGAGCACAUUAGAACUUCAUGUUCCACUAUAGCAUCGCCUGUUAUGAUCAAACGAAAAUAAAUAUGUUUGCCUAAAUUAUACGGCCUACACAUCAAUAGAAACUUCCAGCAGCAGUACAUACUAUUUCGAAGUUCAAGAACAAAAACUAUACCGCAUUGUCACAUUAAGAACGACAAUUCUUAAUAACAACGAUGUUGUGUCGCCGGAAAUCUGUUAUGGCCUUAUCUGAGGUCAGUACUGUUUAAAGAAGUUAAAGUCACAUCUCUUGGAGUAUGGAUUACGUACACAAAAAAUAAGUAAAGCUGUGUAGGGUGCACGCUAAAGAACAUCGUAUUUUUAAUGCUGUGUAUAUUCUCUUGACCGCAAAAUACAAUAAUGAACAAUAGUUGACAUGAAAGAUUACAAGGAAAGAACCAGAAUCGGAAAGGUUAUAGCCUGCACGGGGGGCGGGCGUGUAAACCCCAUUUAUGAAGCCCAUUCCUGUGUGUAAAUCAGUUUGCCAUUCGUUCAAUUUUUUUGUUGCAAGUGUUCUACCGUAUAUUGCGUACGGUACUUCCACACGCUAUUAACUUAUGUAUUCUGCAAUAAGAGUAAUUGUAGAGUAUCAUACAGUAAAUCUUGCAGUGGUCUCACAUAAUAGCUUAGAAUAGUUCUCUUUGCCGGCUGUAGUUAGUAACAUACCUACUUGUGAGGUAAUAAUAACUGUAAUUUCUGUAUUAUACGCAAAACUGAUGUCCGUGAAUAGGUUCGAUAGACGUGAUCCACCCUGGAUCUUUCAUGCAUUACAGGAAGGAUUAAUCAUUGCGACUAGGAAUUUCCCCUUACAGUGUUACACUACCAGAAGUAUCAAUGUAGUGAUGGAAGCACAAAUAUUAAGCAAGGAGAUGAAGUUGAAGGUGAUAUAACAGAAAGAGAAGAAGAUGUAAGAAAGAGAAGAAGAUUAAAUGGGAGAUAUGAGAUGACAGGAAGAAUUUGAUAGAGCAGUGAAAGAAAGCCCCUGGAGUAACAACAUUCUCUCAGACCUACUGAUGGCUUUGGGAGAGCCAUCCAUGACAGAAUUGUUCCUUCUGGUGUGCAAGGGCGAGAAAUGUGUAAUAUCCUCAGACUUCAAAAAGAAUGUAAUGAUUCCAAUUCCAAAGAAAGCAGGUGCUGACAGGUGUGAAUAUUUUAUUGGCUAUACAAGCUGUUAAAAAACAAACUUUCUGGCAAGUGAAUGUAAGAACAGAAAUAAAGAUGCCGUUGAAUGGUA